GUGAGGAAUAUUGCGCAAUGGAGGCAACUCUGACGCAGCCAUGCCGCGUGCAGGAAGAAGGCGCUACGCGUUGUAAACUGCUUUUAACCGGGAAGAAACCCCAGGACGUGUCCUGGGUUGACGGUACCGGAGGAAUAAGCACCGGCUAACUUCGUGCCAGCAGCCGCGGUAAUACGAAGGGUGCAAGCGUUAUCCGGAUUCAUUGGGUUUAAAGGGUGCGUAGGCGGAGCGUUAAGUCAGUGGUGAAAUCCUGCAGCUUAACUGUAGACUUGCCAUUGAUACUGGCGCUCUUGAGUGCGCUUGAAGUGGGCGGAAUGGGGCGUGUAGCGGUGAAAUGCUUAGAUAUGGCACAGAACACCAAUUGCGAAGGCAGCUCACUAAGGCGAUACUGACGCUGAGGCACGAAAGCGUGGGGAUCGAACAGGAUUAGAAACCCGUGUAGUCC
rnacentral:rRNA from 1 species